rnacentral:tRNA from 1 species
AGCAGUGUGGCUCAGUGGAUAGAGCACGGGCCUAAGAGUCCAAGGGACCCGGGUUCUAAUCCUAGCUCUACUA